rnacentral:misc_RNA from 1 species
CCUUUUGUGUCUUGUGUUUCCUCAAAAUGGUGAUCAUUUGAUAGUUGGUUAAAUGAAUGCCACUUGGAUCAAAAUCCUCAUUUAUGCCAUGUGACAAAAUGAAAUUAGAUCAUUUCAACUGAGCACUCAAAUAUUGAUAAAGAUGGAUGACAGUUACAUAUGUUGAUACUGUUGGAAUCUCUUAAAAGGUACAUGUCUCAUCUCGUCAUGGAGCCCUUGAUAUUGUCAUUGCAAGGUUCAAGUAACUUUUUGGUGGAACCUUAUGGAUUAAAAUUUGCAAAUCAUAAGAGUCAUGGAUUGGUCAAUGUCAAGGAGUUUGUGAUAUCAAUGCCAUUGUUCUCAUGAUGGAUUAAUCUUUAGAGAUGGUGAUAGCUCCUUGGAAUUCUUUUAUUAUGAUUUUUUCAAUCAAAAUUUAACUUUCUAGUGUUACAAAUAAAUCUACUUUUGCAAUCCCAUGGGAUCUCACAUCCUUAUUCUCAAUGGGAAGCUAGGAUAUUUGGUUUGGGG